UACCAGUUAGCUAGCCCAAAAACUAAAAUUCAACAAAACCCAUUAAUAACCCAUAAUGCACCCCAUCACCUAAAAUUAAACCAUUUUUCCCCCAAGUACGGGAGACGAAAAAGGAUACCCCUGGAGCUAUAGAAAAAGUACCGCAAGGGAAAGCUGAAAGAGAAAUGAAAUAAACCAAUAAAGUAAAGAAAAGCAGAGACUAGUCCUCGUACCUUUUGCAUCAUGAUUUAGCAAGUUAAAUUAAGCAAAGAGCCCUUUAGUUUAAUACCCCGAAACUGAGUGAGCUACUCCAAGACAGCCUGUAGACAGGGCAAACCCGUCUCUGUGGCAAAAGAGUGGGAAGAUCUUCGAGUAGUGGCGACAAACCUACCGAACUCAGUUAUAGCUGGUUGCUUGAGAAUUGAAUAUGAGUUCAGCCUCUCAGCUUCUUAAUUCAUCUAAUAUUAAAUACAAAGAAAAAUAGAAACUAAGAGAGUUAGUCAAAGGAGGUACAGCCCCUUUGAAAUAGACACAACUUUAAUAGGAGGGUAAGGAUCAUACUAAUUAAAGGAAUAUGUUCUACGUGGGCUUUAAAGCAGCCAUCCCCUUACAAAAGCGUAACAGCUCAAACAGCAACCCACCAAAUCCCCAAAUUAAGAUAACACCAUCCAAACCCCCUAGCACUAUCAAGCCAUCCCAUAAACAUGGAAGAGACCAUGCUAAUAUGAGUAAUAAGAGAAGCACCCCUCUCUCCAACGUACAUGUGUAAGUUGGUACAACAACCAACCAACUAUUAACGACCACAACCUCAAAGAGCGAAAUGAAGCAAACACAGAAAACUAGAAAAGCCUUCAACUUAAAAUCGUUAACCCAACACAGGCGUACAAUUCAAAGGAAAGACUAAAAGGAUAAGAAGGAACUCGGCAAAACUAUAGCCUCGCCUGUUUACCAAAAACAUCGCCUCUUGACUAUUAUAUAAGAGGUCCUGCCUGCCCAAUGACAACACGUUGAAUGGCCGCGGUAUCUUAACCGUGCGAAGGUAGCGCAAUCACUUGUCUUUUAAAUGAAGACCUGUAUGAAUGGCAAGACGAGGGCUUAACUGUCUCCUUUUCCCAGUCAAUGAAAUUGAUCUCCCCGUGCAGAAGCGGGGAUAACAACAUAAGACGAGAAGACCCUGUGGAGCUUUAGACAAAAACCGCUCAUGUUAAAUACCAUCAAAUAAGAAAAGUAAAAUAAUGAUUUCCGUUUCAUGUCUUCGGUUGGGGCGACCUUGGGGAAAUACAAAACCCCCAUAUGGAAGGAAGCACUCACCCCCCCUAAUCAUCCGCUUCCAAAAGCUAGAGAAUACAACUCUAACUAACAGAAUUUCUGACCUUCCUUGACCCGGCUAAUGCCGAUCAAUGAACCAAGUUACCCCAGGGAUAACAGCGCAAUCCCCUUAUAGAGCCCGUAUCAGCAAGGGGGUUUACGACCUCGAUGUUGGAUCAGGACAUCCUAAUGGUGCAACCGCUAUUAAAGGUUCGUUUGUUCAACGAUUAAAGUCCUACGUGAUCUGAGUUCAGACCGGAGCAAUCCAGGUCAGUUUCUACCUAUGAUGCUGUCUCUUUUAGUACGAAAGGACCAAAGAGAAGGGGUCCAUUCCACAGGCACACCUCAUCCCUAAUUUAUGAAUUAAACUAAACUAAACAAAGGGAAGCAAAACACCACUUUAGAUAAUAGUAA
rnacentral:rRNA from 1 species